ACACCAGUUUUCAAGUCUGGCCAUAGGAAUGCAUCUACCAGGAAAAGUUACAUAUUUUAUCCUACUGAGUUUAACGUGUAGUUCUAUUGCUUUCGGAAUUCAUAUGAUUGGACUUUCAACACCUUAUUGGCGUUUGGUGUCUGUUCAAGGCCAAGAAGUUAUUCGUUCUGGACUAUGGAAAACCUGUUUUGUUUCGACUCGUGUUUUGGAGGACUUUGCUUGUAGAGACAUUUCGAAGAAAUAUAUGGACAGUGCUUUUAAGGCUGUUGAAAGUUGUGCAUUAAUUAGUUUAUUACUAAUAUUAGUUGGUGGUGUGUCAACGACUACAGCUUUAGCUCUGGCCCGUGAAAAUCUAUCUCAUACAAACUGGCUUCGAUUCUCAACAGUCAUCAAUUUCUUAGCAGUUAUUUCAUCCCUGGUUGCUAUAGUUAUGUACGGUGUUAUUACCAACAGAUACAAGAAGAAACGAGAAGAAUUUACGAGAGAAACCGUCAUAUUUGGUUGGUCUUUCAUCCUUGAGAUAAUUACAGCAGUUUUGGUGUUUUUGGCGGCGAUAAUGUCACUCGUUCACAUUCGAACAAAGGAUGAAUGUUUACCAACUUUAAGCUAUGACACUGAAAUAGACGCCGUUUAAUUGUUUAAGCUAUGAAACUGAAAUAGACGCCGUUUAAUUGUUUAAGCUAUGCAACUGAAAUAGACGCCGUUUAAUUGUUUAAGCUCUGAAACUGAAAUAUGUGCCGUUUAAUUGUUCCAGAUCAUAUAAAAAGCUUAUUUAUUAAAUAAACUGUUUAAAUUGC